rnacentral:rRNA from 1 species
CAGGACGAACGCUGGCGGCGUGCCUAACACAUGCAAGUCGAGCGAGGAGAUCCUCGGGAUGAUCCUAGCGGCGGACGGGUGAGUAACACGUGGGCAACCUGCCUCAUAGAGAGGAAUAGCCUUCCGAAAGGGAGAUUAAUACCUCAUAACAUUGCAGUUUCGCAUGGAACAGCAAUUAAAGGAGCAAUCCGCUAUGAGAUGGGCCCGCGGCGCAUUAGCUAGUUGGUGAGGUAACGGCUCACCAAGGCGACGAUGCGUAGCCGACCUGAGAGGGUGAUCGGCCACAUUGGGACUGAGACACGGCCCAGACUCCUACGGGAGGCAGCAGUGGGAAUAUUGCACAAUGGGGGAAACCCUGAUGCAAGCAACGCCGCGUGAGUGAUGACGGCCUUCGGGUUGUAAAGCUCUGUCUUCAGGGACGAUAAUGACGGUACCUGAGGAGGAAGCCACGGCUAACUACGUGCCAGCCGCUGC